rnacentral:rRNA from 1 species
CCUACGGGAGGCAGCAGUGGGGAAUAUUGCGCAAUGGGCGAAAGCCUGACGCAGCGACGCCGCGUGAGGGAUGAAGGUCUUCUGAUCGUAAACCUCUGUCAGCAGGGAAGAACGGUCACUUUGCUAAUCAGCAGUGAAUUGACGGUACCUGCAAGGGUAGCACCGGCUAACUCCGUGCCAGCAGCCGCGGGAAUACGGGGGGUGCGAGCGUUAAUCGGAAUUACUGGGGGUAAAGGGGUCGGAGGCGGUAUGUCAAGUCAAGGGUGAAAUCCCCGGGCUCAACGUGGGAACUGCCUUUGAAACUGGCAAACUGGAGUGUGUGAGAGGAUAGUGGAAU